GAUUCGGUUUCGCACGAGAUACCAUUAACUGUUGAAUUACAAUCAAAUAAAUAUUGCUGUUUAAUGCGACGCUUUCGGCUCAUUCAAAACACCGUUGGAAAUUCCACACACGAGCUGAAGAUUUCUUGUUACAACUUUCAAUUGGAGUUGCGCCCUGGGCUGGAGGCUUUCAAAUGUAGUGGCAGGUGUGAUGUUAUACACGUACAUACCUUGUGCCCCUGGAAAGCUGUUGAAACAUGGACAAGGUCAGCGGGCAGCAUGUCACCCGGAGCGCCGCCGAAGAUGAUCCAGCCAAGCAAUGCAAUGUGUGAUCUUCUGAUACCCUACAUUUAUGACUUUAAUUAAUUGUUCACUUUGAUCUGCUGCGAAUUGAUUAAUAGCAAUGGACUCACGAUAAGUUGGAACAAAGAUAUUUAUUUUGUUUCGAAAUUAGCUUAGCAAACAACAUCAAGCGUUGGCAACUGUUGUUAAUUGUUCAGAAUAAUAUUGCUAAAUAAGAAUGUGUGCAAAAUCUGAAGUAAGCUAAACAUUUAAUAUAGUUCACACCUAUGUAUCUAUGUGUAAGCAAACGAACUAGGAAAUAAAUGUCAUAAAAUGGUAUAUACAGUGCAUUUUCCUUCUUCUAAUAUUUCUGGAUGUU